UCGUGAGGGUGAGGAUCGAAGGAGUUGCGAAAGCGGUACACGGUUAGUCAUACCAUUUCGGCGGUGACUUUCCCAUCUCACAGAGGAAACAGCUAGUUGGCUAUUCGAUCUCUAUCUCGUAUACUGUUGUAUAGAUCCAUUGUUGUUGUGUGAUCUUGUAAUCUCGAAUUGAAAUCUGAUAGUGAAGCAGUUGAGGGAUUCUGAUUCCCUCCCCAGUGAGUAGAUCAGCGAACACCGGGUGAACAAUCCUCUUGUGUUAAUCUAUUGUUUUCAUAGAUUUCUC
rnacentral:lncRNA from 1 species